rnacentral:rRNA from 1 species
AACGCUGGCGGCGUGCCUCAGACAUGCAAGUCGAACGCGAAAGUCCCCUUCGGGGGAUAAGUAGAGUGGCGCACGGGUGAGUAACACGUAGGUAAUCUACCUUCGGGUGGGGAAUAACCCAGGGAAACUUGGGCUAACACCGCAUAAUGCAGCGGCACCACAUGGUGACAGUUGUUAAAGCGGGGGAUUUUCGGACCUCGCGCCUGAAGAGGAGCCUGCGGCAGAUUAGCUUGUUGGUAAGGUAACGGCUUACCAAGGCGACGAUCUGUAGCCGGCCUGAGAGGGCGGUCGGCCACACUGACACUGACAUACGGGUCAGACUCCUACGGGAGGCAGCAGUCGGGAAUUUUGGGCAAUGGGCGAAAGCCUGACCCAGCAACGCCGCGUGAAGGAUGAAAUCCCUCGGGAUGUAAACUUCGCAAGAAUGGGAAGAAUUAGUAGGGGCUAAUACCCCCUAUGAUGACGGUACCAUUUGUAAGCUCCGGCUAACUCCGUGCCAGCAGCCGCGGUAAUACGGGGGGAGCAAGCGUUGUUCGGAUUUACUGGGCGUAAAGGGCGCGUAGGCGGCCAGCGCAAGUCGGUUGUGAAAUCUCCGGGCUUAACUCGGAAAGGUCAACCGAUACUGCGCGGCUAGAGUGCGGAAGGGGCAACUGGAAUUCUCGGUGUAGCGGUGAAAUGCGUAGAUAUCGAGAGGAACACCUGCGGCGAAGGCGGGUUGCUGGGCCGACACUGACGCUGAUGCGCGAAAGCCAGGGGAGCGAACGG